rnacentral:lncRNA from 1 species
CAUGAAUGGUGACCGACAAACCUUGAAGUGGCCAAUCGGUGGUGGAGGCGGCUGCGAAGAGAACUUCCAAAACUCGAGAGGAUGGGCAUUGGCGAUGGGACAAGAUUGAAAGUUGGAAGACAGAAAGAAGAGGGGUUCAGGUUUUUAAUCGCUCUUUUAUUUGGAUAGAGAAAUAGAAUAUAGCAGGAGAUUUUAUUAGGUACUCUGGGAUCGAGCAUGAUCGGGCCAACUCAAAUGACUAAUUGACUCAGGCU